rnacentral:rRNA from 1 species
AACGAACGCUGGCGGCAGGCUUAACACAUGCAAGUCGAACGCCCCGCAAGGGGAGUGGCACACGGGUGAGUAACGCGUGGGAAUAUGCCCUUCGGUUCGGAAUAACUCAGGGAAACUUGUGCUAAUACCGAAUGUGCCCUUCGGGGGAAAGAUUUAUCGCCUUUAGAGCGGCCCGCGUCUGAUUAGCUAGUUGGUGAGGUAAAGGCUCACCAAGGCUGCGAUCAGUAGCUGGUCUGAGAGGAUGAUCAGCCACAUUGGGACUGAGACACGGCCCAAACUCCUACGGGAGGCAGCAGUGGGGAAUCUUAGACAAUGGGGGAAACCCUGAUCUAGCCAUGCCGCGUGAUCGAUGAAGGCCUUAGGGUUGUAAAGAUCUUUCAGGUGGGAAGAUAAUGACUGUACCACCAGAAGAAGCCCCGGCUAACUCCGUGCCAGCCGCCGCAGUAA